UACAACGGAGAGUUUGAUCCUGGCUCAGGAUGAACGCUAGCGGUAGGCCUAACACAUGCAAGUCGAACGGUAACAUAAGAGCUUGCUCUUGAUGACGAGUGGCGGACGGGUGAGUAACACGUAUACAAUCUACCUUUAACUGAGGAAUAGCCCAGAGAAAUUUGGAUUAAUACCUCAUAGUAUUAUUUUAAGGCAUCUUAUUAUAAUUAAAACUCCGGUGGUUAAAGAUGAGUAUGCGUUCUAUUAGUUUGUUGGUGAGGUAACGGCUCACCAAGACUGCGAUAGAUAGGGGGCCUGAGAGGGUGAUCCCCCACACUGGUACUGAGACACGGACCAGACUCCUACGGGAGGCAGCAGUGAGGAAUAUUGCGCAAUGGAGGAAACUCUGACGCAGCCAUACCGCGUGUAGGAAGAAUGU
rnacentral:rRNA from 1 species